UGGAGGGCAAGUCUGGUGCCAGCAGCCGCGGUAAUUCCAGCUCCAAUAGCGUAUAUUAAAGUUGUUGCAGUUAAAAAGCUCGUAGUUGAAUUUCGGGAUCAAUUUAUUGGUCGUGCCAACGGUACGCACUGGUACAAUUGGUUUCUCCCUUCUGACGAAGCGUGAUGUCAUUAAUUUGAUGUCGUGGGGAAUCAGGACUGUUACUUUGAAAAAAUUAGAGUGUUUAAAGCAGGCUUUGGCUUGAAUACAUUAGCAUGGAAUAAUGAAAUAGGACGUUUGAUCUUAUUUCGUUGGUUUCUAAGAUCGACGUAAUGAUUAAUAGGGAUAGUUGGGGGCAUUAGUAUUCAAUUGUCAGAGGUGAAAUUCCUGGAUUUAUUGAAGACUAACUACUGCGAAAGCAUUUGCCAAGGAUGUUUUCAUUAAUCAAGAACGAAAGUUAGGGGAUCGAAGACGAUCAGAUACCGUCGUAGUCUUAACCAUAAACUAUGCCGACUAGGGAUCGGAUGAUGUUAAUUUUUUAAUGACUCAUUCGGCGCCUUACGGGAAAC
rnacentral:rRNA from 1 species